rnacentral:rRNA from 1 species
CGACGAAUAUUCCGCAAUGCGCGAAAGCGUGACGGAGCAAUACCGCGUGUAGGAUGAAGCGGCUUCGCCGUGUAAACUACUGUCAGGACCUAGGAAGAACUGACCGGGUCCAGAGGAAGGGCCGGCUAAACUCGUGCCAGCAGCCGCGGUAAUACGAGUGGCCCGAGCGUUAUUCAGAAUCACUGGGCUUAAAGGGUGCGCAGGCGGAUGCGCAAGCAUCUUGUGAAAUCCCACGGCUCAACCGUGGAAUUGCAGGGUGAACUGCGUGUCUUGAGGGAGGCAGAGGCCGACGGAACGAUAGGUGGAGCGGUGGAAUGCGUAGAUAUCUAUCGGAACGCCAAAGGUGAAGACAGUCGGCUGGGCCUUUUCUGACGCUCAUGCACGAAAGCGUGGGGAGCAAACAGGAUUAGAUACCCCCGUAGUCC